UGGUGGAGGCUUUUGGCCGCUGGGAGGAAUGGGGCGAGAGGGUCGUUCACCUUCUGGUGCUGCCAGGGCCUGCUGGGUCACUCCGGGUCACCUUUGACCCUUGCUCCUUGAGGAUGAGGCUUCGGGGUCAACCUCAGCAACUCGUGGGCCACGAUGGGUGCAUCGCGGAGAUCCGGGGAUGGCGCUUCUGUACUUCUGUUUCUUAGUUGGUGGAUCGGGUCGAGCGGUAAUCUAAGCGGUCACUCAGCACAGCUGGGCGCAGCUGUCGUUUGCCGCCGGGCCUGAUGACGCCGCUCCUUGACCUACUGAUGGUGGGGCCAUUUGCUACGGCCAGGGUUCCGUAUACUAGCGGUUAUCCAUCCCUGGAGCGCCUGAGAAACCAGUUGAGGAGGAAGGGGCUUUUUGUCAGAGUACUGAUUGCCGCUGUCAUGAGUCUCUAGUGCAGUGCAACCAUCGGGCCAGUUUAGGAAAGUUUACCCCAGAGUGAGUAACUAUUCACUGGACUCUUUACAGAGUGGCCCGGAAAAUCCUCUCCAGUGAAGCAGGCAUACAUUUGUAGCGGGCUAUGUAACCUAGCCAGUGAGUGUGAGCCAGAGCAACUGUUCCCGAUGGAAAAGGACCCCAAGGACGGUUGGCCAGCAGGACGUGGUGGCACCCGCCUGUAAUCCCAGCACUUGGGGGAAGCAGAAGCAGGCAGAUCUUUCUGAGUUCCAGACCAGCCUGGUCUACAAAGUGAGUCAGGACAGCCAAGGCUACAAGGAGAAACCCUGUCUCGAAAAACAAAAACAAACAAACAGAAACAAAAAAGAAAAAGAAAAAAAGGUUGGUUGGCCUUUAGAAGUUGGUGGUGUGCUAUUGGUAAAUGCUCUGUCGAAGUUCCCUGUGCAAGGAAAUCCCAUGCAGUUUAUUUGUAAGUAAGGACUAUUUAAGAGAAAGUCUUUUCCUUUUGUUUACAAAUACAGAGUUACUUACUGGUUUUUACUUGUAUUAAAGCGUAAUUAGUGGGAGGUAUAGGCGUCACAGAACCCAGACUUGAACAGCAUACAGGUGUGCUUGAAUUCCGUGUGUCCGUUCUUAAUAGUUGUCUGCAUUUACAUAAACGAAGCUAUAUAUUUCAUCUGUAAAUCUGAAAGAUAAGAUACAUGUGCAAAUACCAGUGACACCUUUGGUAACAUAGUAACUGCUU